rnacentral:rRNA from 1 species
GAUGAACGCUGGCGGCGUGCCUAAUACAUGCAAGUCGAGCGAACAGACGAGGAGCUUGCUCGUCUGACGUUAGCGGCGGACGGGUGAGUAACACGUGGAUAACCUACCUAUAAGACUGGGAUAACUUCGGGAAACCGGAGCUAAUACCGGAUAAUAUAUUGAACCGCAUGGUUCAAUAGUGAAAGACGGUUUUGCUGUCACUUAUAGAUGGAUCCGCGCCGCAUUAGCUAGUUGGUAAGGUAACGGCUUAUCAAGGCAACGAUGCGUAGCCGACCUGAGAGGGUGAUCGGCCACACUGGAACUGAGACACGGUCCAGACUCCUACGGGAGGCAGCAGUAGGGAAUCUUCCGCAAUGGGCGAAAGCCUGACGGAGCAACGCCGCGUGAGUGAUGAAGGUCUUCGGAUCGUAAAGCUCUGUUAUUAGGGAAGAACAAAUGUGUAAGUAACUAUGCACGUCUUGACGGUACCUAAUCAGAAAGCCCCGGCUAACUACGUG